rnacentral:lncRNA from 1 species
AAAUGAUUAUGAAACAAAAUCAUGGGCAUUUCUUUAUAAGAUAUUUUAUUUAGAAAGCAUGAGAAGUUUAUAUCAUAUGGGCAGAAAUUAGCAAAACACAACAGCUAACACCUGGGUAACCACUCAAGUCAGAAACUAGCUCAUGGCCAGCUUCACAAGUGCCUCUGGUCCAGUCCUGGCCACAAGCUCCUCCCUUGAACCUGGAAGUGAUGAUUCCCUGAAUCCACGGGCAUUCCUGUUAUUUCCUUCACAGUCUUCCCAGCUACACCUGAAUCUACAGAUUGUGUUAGACUUUGUCUUCUUGAACUUCCAUUAACACACAUCACACUCCAACUGCCAACUUCUCUUGAAUCUUUUAGUCUCUAUUAGGUUGGAAGUAUCAAAUCUAUUGCGUUAAGGAGGGGACAUUCCUUUUUUUGCCCCUUAACUUUAUUUUUUACUGUGGUAAAAGUACACAUAAAUAAUGUUAACCAUUUUUCAGUGUACAAUUCACUGGCUUCAAGUGCAUUUACAAUGUUGUAGAAUGGUAAACUUUCUCUCUUUCCAGACGUGAUUUGAUCUUUUAAACAUGCCAGAACAAUCUUGGUGUGUAGACAAUAUGCUCAGUUUGUAAGCAGUAAAAAAACCAUAAUCGUAGCUGUUGGUUUAUCUUUUUAAAAAAUGAUUAUGUUUUUAAACAUGUCUCAACCUGCUGGUUAUAUAACUGGAGCCAUCUUGCUCACUACAAGUGCAGGCAACUUCUCAAUUAGAAAUUAGACACUUAGUUUAAGAAUAGCAUUUAUUAUAUCAUUGGCCAUAUCAUUAGUCUGUUAGAGAUGCCCUUAUCUCAUCCAUGAGAAACACAGCUAUAAUAUCCACUGGAACUGCCAUGGCCUUGUCUUUUGCAUGUGAAAUAAUUGCAUGCUAUGAAAACGCAAUGAGUGUAUCCUUCUGCUUCAGUCCUGGUUAUGACUUCAUCCCUGGAACGUCAGCCAUGAAAUAAGUAAAGGAUAUGACCUCUGUUCAUCACAGGCAAAAGAGAUGCUCCUGUCCAAAGAGCCUGUGCCACAGCACCCAGCACUCUGAGCCACCCAGUCAGCAACCUCCAACCAGAAUAACAGGUGGGACUCCAACAGUGCAAAUGUCCUGGAAGUGAGAGGCAGCAGAGAUGCUCUCACAGCGGUCCAGUGUUUCAUUGGUUCGAAUCCUGGGCAUGGACAUGGCACUGCUCAUCAAACCAAACCAUGCUGAGGCAGUGUCCCACAUGCCACAACUAGAAGGACCCACAAUGAAGAAUAUACAACUGUGUACCGGGGGGCUUUGGGGAGAAAAAGGAAAAUAAAUAAAUAAAAUCUUUAAAAAAAAAAGAAAAGCAUGGUUUUUGAGAAAGCUUUUUAAUAUACAUUCUGAACAUUUUGAACUUCUUUUUAUACUUGGUAGGUAGAUUAAUGGCCACCAAAUAUAUCCAGAGUCUCAUCUCUGGAAUCUGAGAUUGUCCCUUUAUAUGGCACAAGGGACUUUGCAGGUGUGAUGAAGUUAAGGAUCUGAAUUGAAGAGAAUAUUCUGGAUCAUCCUAUAUGGAACCCCAGGGUCCUUCUAAGAGACAGGCAGAAGGCCAGAGUGAGACGAGAUGUCAGAAUGGAAGCAGGAGGAGGAGAAACCUUUGAUGCUGCCAUGAUGCAAGGAAUGAGGACAGUCUCUGGAACCUGGAAGUCAAGGAAUAUCCUCCUCCAUAGCCUCCAGGGAUAGUAGCAACCCAUAGACACCUUGAUGUUGACCCAGCGAACCCAGUGCAUUCAUGGGAAGCUACUACAAAUGGCAAUAAGGACAUCAGAAAGUGCACAUGCCUACAUGUUUCCACACAGAGGCAAAAACUGCUCUUUCGAAGCUUCUAUCUACAACAGGCACACAACAGUAUUUUCAUUUUUAAGCAAGAGAGUCUGAGCAACCCACUUCAGAUAAAAUAAAAAUAAAGACUGAGGCACAGAGAGUGCCAGGUGUACCUCAAGAAUGGGAGUGCUCAGAACCAACUCAGGGGAAGUGGGUCCUCUGAUUACCUGUCAGUGCCACACAGAGAAGGGCUCCAUGCCUUGGGAAUGAAUGAAUUCCAGUGAGUAUCUGGGAGGGUAGCACCCUGUGGGUGCAGACAGGGGAAGGCAGUGGGAAGUAGUGGGUGAAGGGUGGCCUGUAGGGGGUGAGGGGUGUGUCCCCAAGGGAGAUAGAGGAGGGAGGCAUAGGUACUAUGGGUUAGGAGGGGGCAUGAGAUAAGCAGACCCACACAGAAUAAGGGAUGAGGGACAGGCCCGAUGGAGACAGAAUCUAGAGGGACCUGGGAGUCCAGUGCAAGCGAGGAGGGUUUGGGGGCCUGUGGCUACCAGGUAGGCAGAGUUUGGAGCUGAGGGCUUGACCAGGAGCACAGGGAGUCACCAGGAGAGUGUGGUCCCAGUGACCAAAAAGAUGACAUCAGCAAGCCUCUGGAAGCUUUCCUAUGUGUGCUUUCAUUCUCCCAAUUUAUCCUCUAGGCUUCCUUUUCUACUCUGGGCCCAUCCCUACACCUCCCCUCAGGUCAGAUACUGCUCCCCUAAGACCACCCACCAUGAGACUCAGGCUCUCUGGAGAGUCUCCUCCUGAGACAGGAGGUUCUCCAAGCCCCUCAGGACUCUGAACUCCACAGUUUUACCCUUAGAGCCUCUCCUCCCCCAUUCUCUGAACCAGAUCCAGGCUCAAGGCCCUGGGCAGGCUGACCCAGUCCCCAGAGUGGUCUCCUCCCCACCCCCAUCCAGGAUUCCGUCCUGUUGACCCAUCCCCUUGAGGGUCCAGAGCAGAGACCCUGGGCUUGACCUCAAACAGACCUCACCACAGAAAGGGCCAUAGACCACAUUCUACUUAAUAAUGCUUUCUUUUACUCAGUGUCAAAUCCGUCCUCUUAAGCAAGCAGAUUUGAUAAAAUGGUAAAGGCAGAUUGCUGAUUAAAUAAAACACAAAACUGGCAGAUAAAAAAGCAACUUCUUGAGGAAAUAUUUCCAAUAACAGAUAUUUUCAGUUUGUGAUGAUAAUUCCAUUGAUAAUUUCAAUUGUGAAUCAUUUAGGAGGCAAAAUAUGGUACAUUUAUGCAUUGUACAAAUUUUCCAUAUACUUUUCAGAUUCUUUUCUUAACUCGUGUGUAACAUUAGCUCUUAAACUAUAAUUGUACGAAUUGGUUCUUGAAGCUUAUUCUUCUUAAAUUAAUAUGUGAUAUUUUGUGCAGAGUUAACCACAAAUGGGUUUUCAAUAACAGUGGCAAUUUUUUUCAUUAUAAACAUAAGAAUAUUUUCAGUUGUAGAUAUGCACAUCUGUUUUAUGAACAUCAUUAAUGACCUGUUAUGAACAUCGUUCUUGAGAUAGGUUAAUUUCUCAUGUGAAAAUAACAUCAUCUUAUCCAGGAGAAAGGUCUCGAUGAUAUACUUUACAAAUCACAUAAAUAUGCUUUUUAUAAAUGAAAUUAUCAAAUCCUUGGAAAACAUAAUAAGGCCAAUGCUAUUAAAAAAAUGUUUAAACAUACUCACAGCUCCUCUAGAUAGGAGGGACACCGCACACCAUACAGGGACCCAGCUGAAAGACCAGGUUUAGGGAAAGUUGUGGAAGAUCAUUGGGAGGAGAGGAAGUAGUCAGAGGUUUUAUUUUGCUUUCCAAGAAAGGUGUCAUUGCAGGGCAGAGCAAACAGUUUAAUAUUGUCUAAUUGCAUCAUCCUGGAGGCUUGGAGUUACAGGGAGUCUCUAGUUUCCUGGGACUCGACCCCUGGACAAUUGAGGGCAGGGGAAAUUGUGUGGCUUGGUGUGUGAGUCAGAUAAGCAGGUAGUUGUAUCACAAUAAAGCUGGAAAAAUAAUAACAUCUGAUUUUAAUUAUUAAAAAAGAUCUUAAUUUUAAACAAUUGAGACCAUAAAGUUUUAAAAAGAUAAAAGAAGAUAGAGAGUGUGGGGGAUCAAAAUUGGCCACCCAAAAUUGCAUCUCUUUGGCAGGAGAAUUAUUUUGGGUUUGCUACUUUUAAAAACUGCAGACAUUGGAGAAGCCCUGAAAAGUCGAAUUUAAACUUUUGUAAGAGACAUUUAGAUCUGUAAGGGAAAUCUCCAUCUGUAAAGGUAUCUCCCUCUCUGUACCAUGAAGAAGGGGGUAUGACUUCAUCUCUAGACAUUCUUAUCAUUGCAGAAGGCAAGGACGUAAAUCUGCAUAAUAACCUUACUCUUGUUUACUGUGCUUUUCUGGUAAUUUCCCAUAAUUGACUCCCCCCCAUCCUCAACAGCCUCCUUUGUCUUUGGCUGAAGAUGGCAUUUAAGAUGACAGCCUCUGCCAUUUUGCCAAGUUGCUCAGUUUUCCUGAGUCUCUCCUAUGUAUAUAUGUUAUAAAGCUCUGUUUGAUUUUCUCCUGUUAU